rnacentral:lncRNA from 1 species
UUGAUAACAGUCUAGAGUUUUGUAAUAAUGAUUUUGAUGAUUUGUGUGAAAAAUGUGGAUUUACUAGACAUAAAACUAGUCCUUAUACACCUCAACAAAAUAGGGUAGAUAAAUGUAUAAAUCAUACUUUACUUGACAAAGUUAGAUGUAUGAUCUUGAGUUUUGGAAUUCCUAAAUCUUUUUGGGGUGAAGUUGUUAUCACUACAUGUUAUCUGAUUAACUGGACACCUUCUAAUGCAUUAAAUGGUGAUACUCCACAUGAAAAAUGGUAUGGUAAAUUACUAUGUUAAAAACUUUUGGCUGUGCUGCUUUCUUUCAUUAAAAUGAUGGAAAACUAGAACUUUGAGCUAGGAAAUGUGUCUUUUUAGGAUACCCUGAAGGAGUUAAAGGGUAUAGGCUUUGGGAUAGAAGUCAAAAUGGAGUUAAGAUCGUCAUAAGUCGUGAUGUUAAAUUUAAUGAGUCUGAAAUGCCAUGUCUAAAAUCAGAAAAUGACACCUUGAGAGAAAAACAACAAGAAAACAUUAGUGACGAAUCUCAAAUAAAUUUAAAGUACUUAAGUGUUCAAACCCCCACCACCUCAAUCGAGGUGGAGCAUCAAAAUCCUAAACUAGAAGAUAAUCAGAGUGAAAGUAUUGAGAGGGAUGAAGUUUUAUAGGAAUAUCAAGGAGAACAAAACCUUUUGUCCAAUUACCAGUUAGCUAGAGACAGAGCCAGAAUAACACAUAGGGUGCCUCAAAGGUUAAGAGUCUGAUUUUGAGCUUGUUUAUGCUAGUUAUGAAGAACUAGUUGCUAGGGAACCAAACACGUAUAAAGAAACCUUAAGGAGUGAACAAUCUGAGAAUUGGGUGAAAGCGAUGAAAAAAGGGAUAAAUUUCCUUGAUAAGAAUCAAACAUGGGAAUUAGUCCCAAAACCUAGAGACAAGUCAAUAGUUGGGUGUAAAUGGAUUUUUUAGAAUUAAGGAGAGAAUUACCAAAUGAGAGGGUUUAAGGUUUAAGGCUAGACUUGUGGCCAAAGGUUACACACAAAAGGAAGUGGUAGAUUAUAAUGAGAUUUUUCUCCAGUUGUUAAUUAUACCACAAUUAGGCCUAUGCUUGCAUUAGUUGCAAAUUUCAAUUGAGAACUUGCAUAACUUGAUGUUAAAAUUGGUUUUCUGCAUGGAGAACUUCAUGAAAAGAUUUUCAUGGAUCAACCUAAAGGUUUUGAAAAUAAAAAACCUAAUCAUGUGUGUUUUCUUAAACGCUUUUUGUAUGGUUUAAAACAAUCUCGUAAACAAUGGUACAAACGUUUUGAUUCGUUUGUUAAAAUAAUUGAUUUUAAAAUGAGUGAAUUUGAUCAUUGCUUGUACUAUCAAGGUAAUGCAAACAAUAAUGAUUGUGUGUUUUUGUUGGUAUACGUGGAUGAUAUGCUUUUGAUUGAUCCCAACUUGAAAUUGUUAAAUGAUGUAAAAACUACUUUAAGUAAUGAAUUUGAUAUGAAAGACCUAGGUAAUGUUAAGAAUUUUAGGCAUGAAAAUUCAAAGAGAUAGGUCUAAAUCAAUUUUAUUUUUACAUCAGGCUCCAUAUAUCAUGACAAUUUUGAAGAAAUUUGGUAUGAAUGAAUGUAAACCCAUUACAUUAUCUUUAGCUAAUCAUUUUGUAUUAUCUAAAGAACAAUCACCUGCUAAUAAAGAAGAAGGAGAAUAUAUGAAACGAAUUCCAUAUAUAAAUGCCAUUGGUUCUGUGAUGUUUCUAAUGGUGUGUACUAGACCUAACUUAGCCUUUGCUAUUAGUACACUUAGCAAGUAUAUGUCCAACACAGGUCCCAAACAUUGGGAGGCUUUGAAAUGGUUGUUUAGAUAUUUGAAAGGAACAUGCAAUGUUGGCUUAAUAUAUAAGUUUAGUACUGAAGGAAUAAAAUUGAAAGGUUUUACUGAUGCUAACUAUGUCGGUGAUAGAGAUAAUAGGAAAUCUACAUCUUCCUACAUGUUUACUUUGUGUAAUUCAUGUGUUAGUUGGAAAUCACAACUUCAACAUGUUGUUGCAUUAUCCACUACUGAAUCACAAUACAUUGCUACUACUGAAGCCUUUAAAGAAUCUUUGUGGUUUAAAGAUGUAUUAAAUGAACUUGGUGUUUUUAAGGACAAUGUGACAAUAUAUUCUGAUAGUCAAUCUGCUAUUCACCUAUGCAAAAAUCAUAUUUUUCAUGAACGUACUAAACAUAUAGAUGUUAGAUUGCAUUUCAUUAGAGAUAUGGUUUCUCAAGAACUAGUAAAACUUGAGAAAGUCCUUUCAUAAUAUAAUCCUGCAGAUAUGGGAAUUAAGGUGCUCCCAUUGGUAAAGUUUAAAAGCUGCCUUGAUCUUUUAAACAUCUUUACAAACUUGUAAGUCUCGUCCCUUAAGCUAUUAGUUAUUUUAUCUUACGUGCAGGAUGAUUUGGCAUCAAGGUGGAGAUUGUUAGGCAUGUUUGGUAAGUAAUGACCAAAUCCCCUAGGCGAUGAUAAAAAAUCGAGCUCCGUUUUAACUUCAUAGGCUAUAAGUCCAGGAUUGAAGAAUUAAAUCCACACCACAAUUGAAGUAGCACAAUUAUGUUGGGUAUUUAGAGGUAAUCAGUCCAUUGGACUAGAUGCUCAAUACUCAACUUGGAGGUAAUUUAAAAUCACAAGAAAAGAGAGAUAAAUAAAUCGAUAUCUUUUCCUUUAACCUCUUUAUCCCGUCUUGGAUGAGCUAUAUCUUUUGGAUUAAUAUAAUCUUGCAAAUCUUCUAUCCCACUCUUGCAAGACUCCUGGGAGAUCCGUUCUCCCUAAUAAGCCUAUAAAUUGGAGCCUUCACCUUCAUUUUAUACACGCCAAAAAUUGAGAGAAAAAUCAAGAAGGAACUCUCCCUACUUUGUGCAAAAACGUGACACCUCCUCUGCCUUCUUCGUGAACUUGUCUUUGUGACUAAAAAUGGCCUUCAAAUUGGAGAUACCUUUGUAGUGUGAAUCAAGUUUCUGAGCCUAAUCUAGAAGGGGAAAUCGUUCUUGAAUUUUAUGGUUUUUUGGUCUUGUUUUCUUUUAUCUCUACAAAUCCUAAACUAAUUGGUUGUUUGAUUCGAUUUGUAGGUGGAUUUGUUACACAGUUUUGAAGAAGCUACUAGAACCGAAUAGGGAGAAGAAGAUGCGUAUGAUGUUGAUAUGAAGGAACGUCUAAAAAAGUCGGCAUCUUCUAAGAAACAUAAAUCUAGCAAAGAGAUGGACGCUGUUGUUGUGGGAGCUGCUGUAAGGAAUGCAAGACUUGAUGUUGCUAAGAAGAAAGAUAAAUAAAGAAACUGGGAGAAUAACAGAAACAAAGAAAAAAAUAAUUACACUAGGAAGAGUGCACGUCUUAGAAUUUCUUAAAAGUCUUCAGCAAAUAAUUUUAGAAAAGGGUCAUUGCCGGGGGUCUAAGGAGAACGAUGGAGCUUGGCUAGAAGAUCUAUGAUAUUAGGUAAUUUUGAUUAGAAGUCUGAUAGAAAGAUAUGGACUAAAAUGUAUGUCAAUAAUUAGUCAGUUGGGUCCGUUAGAUUCUAAGGUUUAAAGCAAAAGCUAUCGAUACUGGUGCAUUAUAUUUCAAUGAUAUAUUCUUCGUCUUUCUUCUUUUGAGUCGACUUCUUUAAUUCAUUUGGGGAAUUGUAUUGAAAAUAUCUUCAUUUCAUGCAAUGACUAGUAGUGGCUAUUCAAAUGUAA